GACAGAGGAGCCAAGCGUUGUCCGGACUGACUGGGCGUAAAGCGCACGCAGGCGGCGCUGUGCGUGGGGUGUGAAAGCUCUUGGCUUAACUGAGAGAGGCCAUCCCAUACGGCAGCGCUCGAGCGAUGCAGAGGUCCGCGGAAUUGCCGGUGUAGUGGUGAAAUGCGUAGAUAUCGCUUGGAACGCCGAAGGUGAAAACAGGCUGCUGGGGUUGCGCCGACGCUGAGACACGAAAGCCAGGGGAGCAAACGGG
rnacentral:rRNA from 1 species